CCUACGGGAGGCAGCAGUGGGGAAUAUUGGGCAAUGGAGGAAACUCUGACCCAGCGACGCCGCGUGCGGGAUGAAGGCCUUCGGGUUGUAAACCGCUUUCAGCAGGGAAUAAGCGCAAGUGAAGGUACCUGCAGAAGAAGCACCGGCUAACUAUGUGCCAGCAGCCGCGGUAAUACAUAGGGUGCAAGCGUUGUCCGGAAUUAUUGGGCGUAAAGAGCUCGUAGGUGGUUUGUUACGUCGGAUGUGAAAAUCAGGGGCUCAACCCCUGACCUGCAUUCGAUACGGGCAAGCUGGAGUUUGGUAGGGGAGACUGGAAUUCCUGGUGUAGCGGUGGAAUGCGCAGAUAUCAGGAGGAACACCGAUGGUGAAGGCAGGUCUCUGGGCCAAUACUGACACUGAGGAGCGAAAGCGUGGGGAGCGAACAGGAUUAGAUACCCUGGUAGUCCACGCCGUAAACGGUGGGCACUAGUUGUGCGAACCUUCCACGGUUUGUGCGACGCAGCUAACGCAUUAAGUGCCCCGCCUGGGGAGUACGAGCGCGAGAGUAAACGUACGAAGAAGUUAGUACGGCGUUGAGACGNGCCGACGGACGACGACGAGGGAGGAGG
rnacentral:rRNA from 1 species